GUUGUAAUUCUUUAUGUGAUCCCUGCCAAAUCAUUAUAACGUCAAUGACGUUAUAAUGAUUUGGCAGGGAUCACAUAAAGAAUUACAGCUAUUCCUU